GAGGAAUAUUGGUCAAUGGACGAGAGUCUGAACCAGCCAAGUAGCGUGAAGGAUGACUGCCCUAUGGGUUGUAAACUUCUUUUAUACGGGAAUAAAGUGAGGUACGUGUGCCUUUUUGUAUGUACCGUAUGAAUAAGGAUCGGCUAACUCCGUGCCAGCAGCCGCGGUAAUACGGAGGAUCCGAGCGUUAUCCGGAUUUAUUGGGUUUAAAGGGAGCGUAGGCGGACGCUUAAGUCAGUUGUGAAAGUUUGCGGCUCAACCGUAAAAUUGCAGUUGAUACUGGGUGUCUUGAGUACAGUAGAGGCAGGCGGAAUUCGUGGUGUAGCGGUGAAAUGCUUAGAUAUCACGAAGAACUCCGAUUGCGAAGGCAGCCUGCUGGACUGUAACUGACGCUGAUGCUCGAAAGUGUGGGUAUCAAACAGGAUUAGAUACCCUGGUAGUCCACACAGUAAACGAUGAAUACUCGCUGUUUGCGAUAUACAGUAAGCGGCCAAGCGAAAGCGUUAAGUAUUCCACCUGGGGAGUACGCCGGCAACGGUGAAACUCAAAGGAAUUGACGGGGGCCCGCACAAGCGGAGGAACAUGUGGUUUAAUUCGAUGAUACGCGAGGAACCUUACCCGGGCUUGAAUUGCAACUGAAUGAUGUGGAGACAUGUCAGCCGCAGGGCAGUUGUGAAGGUGCUGCAUGGUUGUCGUCAGCUCGUGCCGUGAGGUGUCGGCUUAAGUGCCAUAACGAGCGCAACCCUUAUCGAUAGUUACCAUCAGGUUAUGCUGGGGACUCUGUCGAGACUGCCGUCGUAAGAUGUGAGGAAGGUGGGGAUGACGUCAAAUCAGCACGGCCCUUACGUCCGGGGCUACACACGUGUUACAAUGGGGGGUACAGAAGGCAGCUACACGGCGACGUGAUGCUAAUCCCGAAAGCCUCUCUCAGUUCGGAUUGGAGUCUGCAACCCGACUCCAUGAAGCUGGAUUCGCUAGUAAUCGCGCAUCAGCCACGGCGCGGUGAAUACGUUCCCG
rnacentral:rRNA from 1 species